GACUAGCCGUGGGAGCUCCUUCCGGUUCAAUAGUGGCUGAUGUGAGGUUGCACUGCUGCCGAUUCAAACUUCCGGCUUCCCUUUCUUAACACGACAGGGAAUCCGAAUGUCUGAUGCGGGAGCUGUGCGGUCUUCAACUUUAGCGCCUCUUGGACUGAAGGGAGCUCCCAAGUCUUCGUGG
rfam:Physcomitrella patens subsp. patens PHYPAscaffold_99 genomic scaffold, whole genome shotgun sequence.